rnacentral:lncRNA from 1 species
GUCUGUCCAGAGGCUCUUGCUCUGAUCUUCCCACAAGUGAGUUCUUCUUAUUCAAGUCAAGGCAGAAGAAGUGAGGCAGAGGCUGUGCUUCUCUUGCUUCUGUUGUUUCUCCUGAAAAGCCCACACCACAUAUUGAGAAAACUAGAAGAGAAUGAACUUGGCCAGAGGAGAAUGAAAUGGCUUGAUAUAGAUGAAGAUGCAGCUGCCAUAAGUGAUGGAAACCACAGUAAUAUGUGAAGAACAGGGAUUCUGUGCUGCGGAGAUCAUUACGGAAGCAACAGUAGCAGGUGGCCUGGCCAUACAGGGAUUCCUUACUCGCAGCAGAGAAUGUUGCUGCCACUCAAAGUCACCAGGGGCUGAAGAGCUCCUGUGGAGACCCACAUCAUCUAACAACACACAUACUCAAAACAGGGAAAUGUGCAUUUUCGGGAGAGGAAGAGACAAACCUUUUGUUUAGCUAACUGGCAUGACAGAGUGUGACAUACAUGUGCUCCUGGAAGAACGGUGUUGGGUGUCUGCACUCAAAAUCUUGAGCAUAGGCAACUGGAUGAAGGGCUCUGUGGCAUUGAUUUUCAUUGUGUGUGUGUUAAUAUUUACAUUUAUAAUUAAAUAAAUAAUCGAAAUUAUGCUGAACUGAAAAAAGAU